CCUACGGGAGGCAGCAGUAGGGAAUCUUCCGCAAUGGGCGAAAGCCUGACGGAGCAACGCCGCGUGAGUGAUGAAGGUCUUCGGAUCGUAAAACUCUGUUGGUAGGGAAGAACAAAUUUGUUAGUAACUGAAAAGUCUUGACGGUACCUAACCAGAAAGCCACGGCUAACUACGUGCCAGCAGCCGCGGUAAU
rnacentral:rRNA from 1 species